GCAACUUGGGGAACAAGUGGGGUUUCCUCAGAUGAGUUGGGAAAGUGGUCAAAGUAAAGCCGUAUCCCCAAUCAAGUUUCUGCUCUUCAGACGUAAUAAAGAGCUGCCCAAAUCCCUCAAUAUCUCCUGGCUGUUGCCAAAACUUCUUUUUCUCAUCUAUUGGAAGAUUAAAGAAGUCUUGAAUCUCUGCUUUCACUUUCUCCACCAAUGAACUGCUCACUCCAUGAUUCAUCAACUGCAUGCAUGCAAAUUAAAGCAAGAUGUCCUUUCCAUAUAUACAUGGUUCAUAAAGGAAAUUCUGAAGUGCAGGAAACAAAAUGAUUUUUAUGGAAAAAGCCAAAGAAACGGAGAGCUGAUAAAAUGCGAACAAAAACAACGAUAAAUUAGUCUCUGUUUACUGUGUUUACAAUCAAGUGACUAAUCCGGUACCGAUUUACUUCCUUUUUGUCAACGUUUUGUCUAAUUUUUAUUAUCUGAAUAUCACUGCUAAAUUGUUAUGUACCUGACAGAAACCCCACUCUUUACAUGCACGGUCAAGCUUCUCAAGCUCUGAGUCAUCUCCAGAGAGCAACUUGUGCAUAUCAAUGACUGGAAGUUGUUGUGCUGAAGAAUCGUCGGUGCGAAUCAAGGGAUGGUCCAUCUCAGGGCGAACAUAACGUGGAGGAAUUGUGAUCAGUGGCUUAUUAUGUGCCAGCUCCAGAAUCGAAGGCUCCACGAGAGAACUCCCAAUAUCUGUCGCUUCUGCCUCCAUAUUAUAUAGAUUUGGAUUAUCUGGUUUCUAGCUGUUUCUUUGUUUUUUUCUCCCCUCUCCUCCAGACUCAGCUGGUUUGUGUUUAACAAGAAACUCAUAUAAAUAGUCCUCUGGAUGUACUGCAAUCCACUUGGGUCUAAUAAAAUAAUAAUUUUGUUAUAAAAAUUCAAGAGGAUCGUGACUUCAUGUGCCAGAUCCAGAAUCGAAGGCUCCACGAGAGAACUCCAUAUUAUAUAGAUUUGGAUUAUCUGAUUUCUAGCCUUUUUUUUUUUUUUUUCCUUCCCUCUCCUGCAGACUCAGCUGGUUUGUGUUUAACAAGAAACUUAUAUAUAAAUAGUCCUCUGGAUGUACUGCAAUCCACUUGGGUCUAAUAAAAUAAUAAUUUUGUUAUAAAAAUUCAAGAGGAUCGUGACUUCAUGUGCCAGAUCCAGAAUCGAAGGCUCCACGAGAGAACUCCAUAUUAUAUAGAUUUGGAUUAUCUGAUUUCUAGCUAUUUCUUUUUUGGUUUGUGUUUAACAAGAAACUUAUAUAUAAAUAGUCCUCUGGAUGUACUGCAAUCCACUUGGGUCUAAUAAAAUAAUAAUUUUGUUAUAAAAAUUCAAGAGGAUCGUGACUUCAUGUGCCAGCUCCAGAAUCGAAGGCUCCACGAGAGAACUCCCAAUAUCUGUCGCUUUUGCUUCCUGUUAAGGAAGCUCACACUUGUAUAGUAGUCAGCAGAACAGAGGAUGAUAGCAGCAAGAUUAAUCAGUUACGCAUUGAUGAUGUGGCAUGCCAUGUCAUGCAUGGUGAUUAUGAAACAUGUAUACACGUGACUGAUUAGUUAAAGGUUGUUAUAUUCAGUUAUCAAGUUGAGCUUAAGCACCUGUAUAUAAGAAAUAAUUCAACACACAUUAUGUGUGUAUUUUGAUUAAUAAGAUCAGAAGUUUUUCUCAGAUCUAUUUCUUAAUUCUUUUCAUUUUCUUUUACUUUCUAAGUAACCAAACAUCAUUUUCAAUCUUCAACUUGGUAUCAGAGCUACGGUAAAGUAAUGGCAUCAGUAAAUCUUGUUUCAUCUUCUGCACCAGUUCUUAACACAACUGUUAACUCAGCAACUUCUUCAUUUACGUUCAACACUCCUGUUAAACUUGAUCAAUCCAAUUUUCUGAUAUGGAGAUCUCAAGUUUUGGCUUCAAUCCGCGGUAACAGACUGGAGAAGUUCAUAGAUGAUUCAGCAACUCCACCUCCAUCUCACAUUGCUCAAAGGAUUGGUGAUGAUAUCAGAUCUGUGGAGAAUCCAGAGUUUGUGAUUUGGAGGUCACAAGAUCAAGUACUUCUUGGAUGGCUGCUCUCAUCAAUGAGUGAAGGUAUUAUUAGCUUAGUGUUUAAUUUGGAAACUUCUGUUGAGGUGUGGAAGGCUAUUGAAACACAAUUUGGCUCACAAUCUAAAUCUAGACUUCUACAUCUGAGAUACAUGAUGAACUCAACUAGGAAAGAUGAUUUGAAAAUCAAUGAUUACUUCAUUAAAAUGAAAUCUAUAGCUGAUAACAUGGCUGCAGCAGGAAGUGCUUUGAAUAAUGAUGAUUUAAUUCUGCAUAUACUCUCUGGUUUGGGAUCAGAAUACAAUUCUGUAGCCACUUAUAUAACUGGACAAGUAGGUGUUGGAAAGAUGAAUGUUAAUGAGGCUUAUGCCAUGCUUUUAACUCAAGAAGCAAGGAUUGAGCAACAAGCUCAAAUGCUUGCUGAUACAUAUGUGAAACAAAAUUUUGAAACAAAUCUGGUUCUAAAUAGAGGAUUUAAGAAAGGAAACAUGUCUGGUGGUAAAAACUUUGGUGGUUAUGGAUACAAUACUGGAAACAAUGGAGGUUUUGGAACUAAUCAUUACAAAGGCAAUUAUGGAGGAUCUGGAUAUGGAUUUGCUGGUAAUGGAGAUUCUCAGUACAAAGCCUAUCAAGGUGAUAAUCAGAGAGGUGGAGGAGGCAAUUGGAAUCUAAAUGCUGGUAAUGGAGGAUAUAAUGGCAGACCUUCUGGACAAAUCAAGCCUCAGUGGAAUGGUUCUAAACCAACCUGUCAAAUAUGCCUCAAGACUGGGCAUACUGCAAACAUCUGUUGGAAACUUACUGAGUUCAUGAAUUCUGGAGCAUACAGACCACCACCAAAUCGAAAUCCAAAAGCUGCAUACUUAGCCAACAUAGAGGGACCAUCUGAUGCAAACUGGUACCUGGACAGUGGAGCUACACAUCAUCUAACAAAUGACAUGAAUAAUAUGCAUGUUUCUGAAAGCUUUACAGGUACUUCUAAGCUCAUUGUUGGUAAUGGUGCUCGUUUAAGCAUAACUCACUUAGGCAGUGUAGUCUUGAAAAUGCAUAAAAAUAGAGAUGAUGUCUUAUCAACACUUAAGCUCAAUGACAUGCUCCUAGUACCACAAAUUACCAAAAAUCUCAUUAGCAUAUCCAGACUUACCAAAGAUAAUAAUAUAGUGGUUGAAUUCACUGACAAAUUUUGUUUUGUGAAGGACAAGAUGAAGAAUGUGGUAAUAUUGCAGGGCAAGGCUGAAAAGAGUCUCUACAGAUUGCUAUUGGUUUCUUCUAAUAAAACUCUUAUCACAUCAUCUGGUCAGAGUUAUAUUGCUAAUGUAGAGUCAACCAAGACAUUAACUCCUCUUUCAAUGUUCUCAAGUGUUAGUUCUGAAUUCCAAAAUAAAACCAACUGCUUACACACUUCAACAGUUCCUUGUAUAAAUUCUGAGUGUUUGUUAAGUACUUCUGUAUUACAUCAAAGGUUAGGUCAUCCAUCUUCUCAUGUUUUAAAUCAUGUAAUCAAAACACGUUCAUUUGUUCAAACUAUCAAUGGAAACAAAACCUUUGACUCUUGUGAUGCUUGUAAGAUGGGAAAGAUGCACAGAUUACACUUUCUUGUCACUGAAACAAAAACAAAAAUUCCUUUAGAAAUAUUACACACUGAUCUAUGGGGACCAUCUCCUGUGAUCUCUCCUCAAGGAUAUAAAUAUUAUGUAAGUUUUGUUGAUGAGUGCACUAGAUUCACUUGGAUAUUCCCAUUAAAAACAAAAGAUGAAACUCUCCCUGUCUUUAAAAUCUUCAAAACCCAAAUUGAAAAACAACUCAACAGAUCCAUUAAAUGUCUUCAAUCUGAUUGGGGGGGAGAGUUCAGAUCAUUUGUUAACUAUCUUCUUGCUGAGGGAAUCCAAUUCAGACACUCAUGUCCCUAUACUCACAAUCAAAAUGGUUUAGUAGAAAGAAAACACAGACACAUCACUGAACUUGGGUUAACUUUACUUGCACAAGCUACCAUGCCCUUAAAUUUUGGUGGGAUUCUUUUCAUACAGCAACCUAUAUUAUAAACAGACUACCCACUCCUGUGUUGAGCAUGAAAUCUCUUUAUGAAUCUCUAUUUCAACUUUCACCAGAUUACAAGUCUCUAAGAGUUUUUGGUUGCUUAUGUUUCCCUUUCCUUAGAGAGUACAAUAAACACAAGUUUCAGUUUCAUACAUCCAAAUGUGUCUUUCUGGGUUAUAGCCCUUUACAUAAAGGCUAUAAAUGUUUCCAUCCCUCUGGUAAAACUUAUAUAGCUAGUCAUGUUUUGUUUGAUGAAUCUUCCUUUCCAUAUUCAUCUCUUUUUCAUAUUUCUUCAUCUGGAAAUCAUUCCUCAGAUUUCCAGUACAAUCUUCUCAAAUGUUAUACAGUUCCAGUUUCCAAUAGCAAUCAAGACACUCUUGAAGCUAAUGCAGCUGAUAAUGACCAUUAUUCUCCUCUAUGUUCUUCUCACAACACACCAAAUGUUUCCUCACCAUCAAAUAACCUUCCUACUGACUCACUUCAUUGCUCAUCACUCACACAACCAGCUUCUGAUCUAAACACUUCCAUACAGCCCAAUAAUGCCACAUCACUACCAAAUCAGCAAAAUCCAUCUUCUUUACUAGUUGAAACACACCAAUCAUCAGUACCAACACAAGUCAAACCACUCAUAUCUACACACAAAAUGAUCACUCGAGCUAAGGCUGGAAUCUUCAAGCCAAAGGCCUUCAUUGCCAACCAUAACAGCCUGGAACCAUCCACCACCUAUGAGGCAUUAUCUGAUCCUAAGUAGAAGGGAGCUAUGCAGGCAGAGUAUGAUGCCCUCAUGAAGAACAAUACCUGGAGCUUAGUACCUAUAUCUUCCUCUUAUAAACCAGUUGGAUGCAAAUGGGUUUUUCGAACUAAGUACAAUACUGAUGGUUCAGUCUCCAAGUACAAAGCAAGAUUAGUUGCAAAGGGGUUUCACCAAACUGCAGGCAUUAACUAUUCAGAAACCUUCAGCCUUGUAAUCAAAUCUUCAACAGUAACAGUUAUCCUAAGCUUAGCUGUUAUGAAAGAGUGGAAAGUAAGGCAAAUUGAUGUAAAUAAUGUCUUUCUCAAUGGAGAACUUUCUGAAGAUGUGUAUAUGACACAACCUGAGGGUUUUGAAUCUAAGGAAGGUUACAUUUGCAAACUCAACAAAGCUUUGUAUGGGCUAAAACAAGCUCCAAGAGCCUGGUACGAAAAGCUCAAAGGCUGUCUAACUGACUGGCAAUUUAUCAAUUCUAAGGCUGACACUUCUCUCUUCAUCAAGCAUGAUACAAGAGGAUUAAUCAUUAUUCUCAUCUAUGUAGAUGACAUUCUAAUUACUGGCCCUGAUUCUGAUUUACUGGAGGUAUUUAUAACUAAACUCAGCACAAUGUUUGCUCUUAAGGAUUUGGGGCUGGUUGCUUAUUUUCUUGGAGUGGAAGUGUGUUACACUGCUCAGGGAAUGCAUCUUUCUCAAACAAAGUAUAUCAAAGACUUGUUGAGUAGAGCUUCAAUGCAGAAUUGCAAAGGUUCUGAUACACCUUUUAGUAUUGGUUUCAAGCUGGAAAGAGCUGUACAAAGUUCUCUGGGGCAAGAGUUUGAGGAUCCCACAUUGUACAGAAGUCUUGUUGGUGGCCUUCAAUAUCUAUUUCUUACCAGACCUGAUAUUGUCUACUCAGUUCAUAAGCUCAGUCAAUAUCUCAGUGCUCCCACACUUCAACACUGGCUAGCCUGUAAGAAGGUUCUUAAAUAUCUUCAAGCAACAAUCACCUAUGGCCUUCACAUUCAAAAGGAGGGAAUACUUGAAACUACUGGAUUGACUGGUUAUUCAGAUGCUGAUUGGGCAUGUGAUGUUGAUGAUCGCAAAUCCAUUGGAGCUUAUUGCAUAUAUCUUGGUAACAAUCUAAUCUCUUGGUCAUCUAAGAAGCAACCUAUUGUUGCUAAAUCCAGCACAGAGAGUGAAUACAGAGCUCUGUCCUCAGCAAGAACAGAAUUAUCAUGGCUACAAUCCUUAUUUUCUGAGCUUAAGAUUAUGAAGUUACCUCCUCCAGUUCUUUGGUGUGACAACCAAAGUGCUGGUGACUUAGCUAGGAAUCCUGUUUUUCAUUCUAGAUCAAAGCACAUUGAACUAGAUGUUCACUACAUCAGAGACAAGGUGCUAAAGAAGGAGUUGGAAAUCAGAUAUAUUCCUACAGAGGAACAAGUUGCUGAUGUGUUUACAAAAUCUCUGUCAUUUCCUAAGUUCAGUUACUUCCGCUCCAAGCUCAAUGUUAUUAAUAGACCAUUGAGCUUGAGGGGGGAUGUUAAGGAAGCUCACACUUGUACAGUAGUCAGCAGAACAGAGGAUGAUAGCAGCAAGAUUAAUCAGUUACGCAUUGAUGAUGUGGCAUGCCAUGUCAUGCCUGGUGAUUGUGAAAUAUGUAUACACGUGACUGAUUAGUUAAAGGUUGUUAUAUUCAGUUAUCAAGUUGAGCUUAAGCACCUGUAUAUAAGAAAUAAUUCAACACACAUUAUGUGUGUAUUUUGAUUAAUAAGAUCAGAAGUUUUUCUCAGAUCUAUUUAUUAAUUCUUUUCAUUUUCUUUUACUUUCUAAGUAACCAAACAUCAUUUUCAAUCUUCAACUCUUCCAUAUUAUAUAGAUUUGGAUUAUCUGAUUUCUAGCUAUUUCUUUUUUCUUUUUCCUUCCCUCUCCUACAGACUCAGCUGGUUUCUGUUUAACAAGAAACUCGUAUAUAAAUAGCUCUUUGGAUGAAACAAAUUCUCAGAGACUACAAUAUUAAUUUUGAUCAAAUACCUAUCUUAUGUGACAAUACAAGUACUAUCAAUCUUUCGAAAAAUCUCAUUCAACAUUCUAGGACUAAACAUAUAGAGAUUAGACAUUAUUUUCUAAGAUAUCAUGUUAAAAAAGGAGAUAUUGUGAUUAAAUUUAUUUUUACUAAAAAUUGACUUGCAGAUAUAUUUACAAAACCCCAUAGUGAAGAGCAGUUUAUAAAAAUUAGACAUGAGUUUGGAAUGAUGAAUGUUGCAUCUUAAAUUAUAAUUUUUUUAGGUUGUGUGUGCUUGGGGACAGUUAUAGCUCUAUAAUUUACACCCCGGGGAAGUGGUAGUGGUGACACUACUUCCCCAUGCCAAGGUUGACCAACGCUGGCUCUAUACGGAGGGAACAAGGGAUUCAUGGAAGUGCUGGAGUGUCAUGCUGGCAUCAUUGUUUGAUAUGAGUAAUUUCAUAUGUUUUCUCUUUGUAUGCGCUUAUGUUUCAUGCAUUAAAAGGCCUAUUAAAAAGUUUUGAAUCACAAAAUGAUUUAAAAUUGAUCAAGUUUUAAGCCAAAAAUAAAUUGGUGCGUGCAAGACAAGUUUACCGAUUAACCAAAAUUCAAUAAAAGGCCAAAUGUUUUCUAAGACAAAACUGGCAUACUGCUUGUAACCAAUUAGUAAGCCAUUUCUCUAUGUUUCUUCUCUAGCCAAGAACUGGAUAGCUAAAUAUAGAUAACCGAUUAACUGUUUCCUAAAGAUUACGUACUGGACCAGAAUCGAAUAGCCAGUUAGAAAAACUGGUAAGCCGCUUGUUUAAUCUUCACUCACUGAAAACAACCGGUCAACUGGUUAGGAAAAUUGGUAAGUUGCUUGUUUAACCUUUGAUAACUUUCGCCCUCCAAUCGAUCUUUCAUGAAGUUGUUAAUGCUACUGUGAGUGAGUUUACAAAUGAACAAGGGAGCUGGAAUUGGCUGAGCUUUGAACAUUUGCUGCCAAAUUAUAUUCUCAUGCAAAUUGCCUCGGCUAUGCCUCCUGCUUCUCAUCUUGGCACAAAAAAAAUUUAUUGGAGUUUUCAUCCAAGAGGUGUGUUUACUGUACGCUCAGCCUAUGACUCUAUUUGUCAUCAAAACCUAGCCAUUCAAGAUGAAGCAAGGAACUUACCAUGGUCUUGGAAGGGGCCUCAGUCUAUCUGCCUCUUUCUUUGGCAGAUUAUGCAUGAGAAAUUGAAGACUCACGGUGAGCUGUCUCGGAGUCACGUUCCCGUGUCUAUGGCUUGUGAUAGAUGUGGGGCUUUGGUUGAAGAUAUUUUUCAUGCAUUACGAGAUUGCCAUUGUAUUAAACGGUUUUGGCUUCGACUUGUCCCACUGUAUGAGCAUUAUACUUUUUUUCACUCUAAUUUACAGGACUGGAUUGCUGCUAAUUUACAGAAUAAAUGGAAGUUUGUUUCUCCUAUCCCUUGGGAGUGUGUUUUCGGCGUGGCCGUUUGGAGGUUAUGGUUAUGGAGGAAUCAUUUUAUGGUUGAUGGGAAAUUGGCGGAUAGCUCAACAAUUUAUCUGGAUAUUAUGGCCAGAGCUAAUGAAAUUCAUAGAGUGAAUAAUUCUCACAUGAGUCAGCAACCGAGGAGAAAGGAGAUGUUUAUUGGCUGGCAGCCUCCUCCAUGGCCAUGGUGUAAAUUGAAUACGGAUGGAUCUUGUAAAAAAUUCACGGGAUGCAGGGGCUGGUGGUGUUAUUCGUGAUUCUAUCGGUCACUGGAUUUCUGGAUUUUGUAUGAAUAUUGGGGAGUGUUCGGUGAUUAUGGCUGAGCUAUGAGGUCUAUAUGAAGGCUUAAUCCUGGCGUGGGAUGCUGGCAUAAAACGUCUUUUGGUGAAGUGGACAGUCUUUGUGUUACUCAGAUGAUAUCUAAGCAAGUGGUUGUGCCUAAUACUUUCUAUGCUAUAGUUGUUAUUGUCCGGGAAUUACUAAGCAGAAACAGGCAGAUUUCUAUCACACACAUUUUUCGUGAAGCGAAUUUAGUUGCAGAUUUCAUGGCUAAUAUGACUCAUUCAGUUUCUCAUGGUUUGCAUUUAUUUACUAGCCCGCCUGUGGGUAUUUAUUCAAUUAUAUUGCAAGACAUGUUUGGGGUUAUUCAACCCCGGUUUAUUCCAGUUUAACUCGUUCUAUUGAGCUCCUUUUAAUAAAAAAAAAGUAACAAAAAUUUACUUUUUAUAUGUAGAUGUACAUGUUUAAAAAUCAGACAUAAAUUAUAAAAAAUAAAAAAUAAUUAUUAAAAAAAGCCUAAAAUUAAUAAAAUUUCAAAUUUCAUAUGUUUAACAAAUAAUCUCCUUUGAUGAGAUCAUAAUUAUUAUGAAAGAGCGAUAUAUAUACUUCCAAGGGCGGAGCUAAGCCGCCGGGUAAAGUUUUUGGAAAUAAAUUUUUAGUUUGACUACACAAAUUUCCUAGCUAGCAUGACCCGAUUGAGAAUUUCAAACAAGACCUAUGUAAUUGAAGAAAACCUUUCUAAUCAGGAUGAAUUAUUGGUUUAUCUCAAAUAUGUUGACAAGUUAAACAUUUUGGAAAAUUCAUUUUACAAGAUAGGUUAUGUCGAAUGUUUUUAGGCCCAUGUUACAUAAUUUCAUUUCAUGUAAGAAUUCAACUAUUGGCACCCUUUAAAAUCUUCUUGAACUCCAUCUUUAAGUAAUUCUAUUAAAUAAUACUGAAAAAUCCUUUAUUGCUAUUAAUUGUUCGCUUUAAUUCUGAAAAUGUCAUCAUACUAGACAGUAAUUUUUCUCACUCAAAAAAACCAAAAAAAGAAAAAAGAAAAAAGAAAAAAGAAAAUGUUUUUUUUUUCUUUUCCCUAUGGAGUCUUGCUAGCCACCACAAUCUACAGAUUUGUCGGUGACAAAAGUUUUGUUGAUUGAUAAACAUGAAAUUUUUGCUUCUUGUUUCGCAUGAUUCUUGCUACCCAACACUUUCACUUCAUUUUGUGUUUGUGCCACAGCAUUUCAUCAACAUUUCUCUCUAUCUAUCUGUUUUCCACGAUUUGUUCCUCAAUCUUCUCAGACUUUCGGGUAUUAAUUAUAAUAAAAUCAAAAUAUUUUUGAUAUGGAGGCAAUGAAAUAAAUGCAAGCGCUAAUUCAUUGCAAGAUUCUUCUCCUACUCGUGUCAAAUCCUCUGCCAACUUAUUGGAUUGUGUGGGUGUGUCUGAAAAAGACCAGAAGAGUUUUAUGAGAAAUAGAACCGACCACGUCGAGGUCGAGUAAAUUUAUAUUUUGUCCUUUAUUGUAAUCACAAUAGCGGGGUUUUGUAAGAUGAAUGGAGGGGUGUUAAUAGUUCUAUGUUUUGAACUGAAAAUGGGGCCUCACCAAGCCGGUACGGAGCUCAGGCCCUGCUUGGCUAGGCUUAUUUGGUACACCCCCUAAUUCGUAUGAGAAGUAAAAGGAGUGUGGUUAUUUGGCCCCCCCGUUUCAUCUCAUGAGACCCCUCUAAUAUUGAAAUUACCACAAAGAAUAGAAACUGUCGUGUAGUUACUUUUCAAUCAAACCCAAUAACGCAGCUUCUCUUCUCCUUUAUAUUUUAGCUUGCAUGUUAUAACUUAUAAGCGUCAAAUGCUUUUAUUUCUUUAUUGCAUUCAUCUUAUAGCAAUUUGAUGAGUAGUACAAUACAAUCCCAGCUUGAUUUUUUUUAAUAAUUUUUUAUUUCUUUUUCACUCUAAAAUAUUGAACUUUAGAAAUUUAUUUGUCUAAAACAGCCUUUAAUAAACAUUAGUAUGACAAACAAUCAAUUUUGGAAAUUAAUGAGGCAUAAAAGAAAAUGGGGUCUCGUGAGAUAAUAUUUAGGGAGUUGAAUAUCACUACUCAAGAAAAAGUCAUCAUUUUUGGUAACCGACUUAGAAAUUGAAAUUUAGGAUGUUUGAUUUAAUUUUUCCAUACAGAGUGAAUGGUUAAAUAGACCACAGUGACUCGAAUAAAAAAAAUGAAAUGGAAGUUGUCUUAAUAUUAUAAGCUUUUUGCAUGAAACAACACCUUGUAUUAGACAAUUUAGAAUCAAUUUCGAAUUACUCUAGUAAAUUGACUACACCAAUCUUAAUUACAUAUUAAAAAAUUAGGUCCUAGGUCAACAAUUGAAAUUACAUAUAUACAUAAAUCGACAAAGAAACAUAGAAUAUAUACAUAAUUUAUUUUGUUAUUUUAUUUUAUUUUUCUUUUAAUAAGAACCACAAACAGAUAAGGUGAAGCAAGAAGUUUAAAGAAAGGAGUAGUGUCUAUAUAAAUUGCUACCUUUAUUAAUGAAAAUGUUGGUCAUUAAUAGACCCUAUAGCACAACUAAGUUACACACUUUAUUGUUUAGAAAUAGGAACUAACAAGCAAAAAAUAAGGGGAAAUAGUAACUAAAAUAAUCACUAAAUAUCAGCCACCAACUUGUUCGAUAUUUAUCAACUAACAGUUAUGCCUAACUCGGUCUUAUUUAAGCAUUUCCUAAGAUUGCAUGGUGAUAUAAGUCUGCAGCAUUUAUCAUUGCUCCUUAGAGGAAUAAAUUCCUUUAUGAAUGAUACGUCUAUCAAGUAUACACUCAGGUUGAGGCAGUAUAGUUGAUGUAUCCUCCGAUGUAGGGGUAGUUUCAAAGCUGCAGGGGCAUGGGCUCAACCAACUUUCUUAGGAGAUUGAUAUAAAACACAUUAUGGAUUUGGACCCUCUUAGUAACUCCAAUUUGUAGGCCAUAAGAAACAUGGAGCUAGCUUGAGAGAACUACGAAAAGCUACAGACUUCUGAUGAUAAGGAUAAAAAUUUGAGGUACAAAUAAUCGCCAACACUAGAAACAAUUUCCUUGUAAUGAUGAUCGGCUUGAUUUUUCAUUAUAUCUUAAGCAACAAUCAAAUUGCAUCGAAGAUCACACAAAAUGGAUUCAUGGUCCCUUAGUGUCUCACCCACAACAUGAAUAUUAGUUUAGAGGAGGUAUGCUAUAGAUAGCUUUAAAACGAGAAAUUUUGGUGGAAAUAUGCGUUGACUUAUUAUAGCUAUACUCAGCCCAAGGUAGCUAAUCGAGCUGUUUGGUUCACUUGUGAAGUAAUAGAGAUAGAUCUUAUUUGGAAUUGAGGUGCUGUAGCAUUUAAGCUACAGCUGCUGUGAAAAAAAAAUUGUAAUUAUGAAACAAAGGUUAACAAUAUGUAGUAAAUAUAAAUUUUAAAUAAUAAUUUUGACAAAAUUAUUAAAAAUAAAAAAUUUUACAUCAUACAGUGAAAAAUCAUAUCAACAUAGCUUCCAAGUCACAGCAUCUAGUGUUAUCAAACACUUUAGUGCUAUACCUUUUAAGUUAGUGCUGCCCAACCUCAAUCCCAAACACACAUAUACUAUUCUAAGAUUCCAUUAACAACUUCUAUUUGUCCGUCAGUUUGUGGAUGGUAUAGUUCCUUGAAACAAAGCCUUCUAAAAAGAAUGGAUAAAAAACAGUUUCUCUAUCACUAACGAUGGAAGUUGGUGUCCAAUGGAAUCGCACAAUUUAUGCUAUAAAAACCUUAGUCACUAUCAGAGAUGUAUACGAAUGUUUCAAAUUAAUGAAGUGUGUGUAUUUUGACAAAUGAUCCACAGUUACCAUAAUGACAGUGUAACCUUGUGAUGGUGGAAGUCCAUCAAUGAAAUCCAAAGAAAUUUUUGUCCAGAUUCUGUCCAAAAUUGGUAAAGAUUAGAGAAGUCCUGCUAGUUGUAGAUUUCAACCUUACACCAUGGAAAGACUUCACAGCACCGUAUGAAAUUCUUAAUCUCUGCAUGCAUUCCAGGCUAAUAAAAACUAGAUUUUAGUCUGCUAAGAGAUUUUUGAUAGCCAAAAUGCCUUCUGAUUGAUGAUGAGUACGCUUUCUAUAAAAUAGCUUGUAGAAAGAAGCAGGACUCAAAAAGAGCUUUCGUUGUUUAUACCAGACUCCAUCUCUUUGAAUUAAUGAUUAAGUCAAAAUUGGCUAUAUAAGGGAUUUUAUGCUACUUCAUUUUGUAGUGUGGCCCAUCAAUCGGCCAAAGGAAGAGAGAUUGCUAAAAAUUCAAGCUUUGCCAAUCGUGAAAAAGCGUUGGCUCUCUAAUUUUCUAAUCCUUUUUUGUAUUGAAUCGUAUAAUCAUUUCUGAGAAUUUUUGGCAGCUAUCAUAUCUGAACAAGUGUGUAAUGUGCUGUUCCAUUAGAAAUUUGAGACUCUUUUGGUCUGCACGAACAAUGAAAGGCUUACCAACAAGUAUGAAUGCCAUUUGUGAAUUGCCUUGAUGAUUACAAGCAUCUCUUUCUUGUAGGUAGAUAAGGCCAAUGCUGAACCCUUGAGUGUGUCACUAAAAAAUGGCACUAGCUGAUCAUGUUGUGAUAAGAUAGCUCUAAUACCGACUCUAUAAGCAUCGCACUCGACAACAAACGACUGUGAAAAGUCUAGCAACCAGAGAACAUGAGGGGAUUUUAAUGCUUGUUUCAACUGGGUGAAAGUAGAUUUUGCUUUUAAGGUCCAAUUGAAGUCUUCCUUUGUUAAUAACCUUGUUAAAGGUGUUGUGAUUCCCUCAAAGCCUCGGUAAAAUUGACAAAUCCAAAAAGCCAUUUAUUUCUUUGGUUGACUUUGGAAUUGGCGGCUUAAGUACGGUUUGGAUUUUUUUCAAAUCAAUUGCCACUGAACAAGGGAAAUAAGAUGGCCUAAAUAUUCUGCCUCCAAAACUCCAAAACAACACUUUGGUAAUUCACAAAUAGAGAGUUAUUAGAUAAAAUCUAUUGGACUAUUUGAAGAUGGAAAAUAUGAUUUGCCCAAGUUUUACUAUACACAAAAAUAUAGUUAAAAAAAAAAAACUAGGACAAGCUUUCGUAAACAUGGGCGUAAUAAAUCAAUCAUCAAGCUUUGGAAUGUUGAAAGUGCAUUGGUCAAGCCAAAUGGCAUGACGAUAAACCCGUAAUAGCCAUCAUGGGUUCUGAAUGCUAUCUUGUGAUUUUUUGCUUCUUGAACACGUAUUUGAUGAUACUUGAUCUCAAGGCUAACUUGGAAAAGUAUGUAGCUCCAUGCAACUUAUCCAAAAGCUUAUCGAUUAUAAGUAUCAGAUACUUGUAUUUAAUGGUAAUGUUGUUCUACACUCGACAAUCUAUACAAAGCGCCACCCCCAUCUGCUUUUUUGACAAGUAAUACUAGUGAUGAAAAAGGGCUGGUGCUUUGUUGUAUUAUGCCAGAUUCGAGUAAUUCCCUUACUAUCUUUUCAAUUUCAGUCUUUUGAUAAUAUAAGAACCUAUACGGACGAACGCUUGCUUGGCCUUAAUUUGGUUGCAACUAUAUGUGGUGGUUAUAGACCUCUUUAGUGGUAAUUCAUUAGGAAGAUUAAAGGCAUGACCAUAUUCUGUUGAGGUCGAAGGUCUGCAGGAUACUUCUUGGGGCCAUAUUUGUUCAUCACAUAAAGUGAUCUAAAAGAAGAAAAUAGUGCCAUCUAAACAUAACAAUUCAUUAUCAUUCAAGUCCGUGAAUUUUCGGUCUUCCUAUACCUCUAUAAGUGUGAGCCUAUCCAUCUUAAGUAAAGGUCUUGGUCAACUUACUAUAAUAAGUUAUGAUGGUACCCGGGGUUUCUAGCCACUGGACCCCUAACACAGCCUACCAUGCGGAUACUAGUAGUACAUAGAAGUAUGAUGAUGGUUCUGUGUCAUGAUUUGGAACUUCAUAUCGCGUACUACCAGCAAUCCAAAUUUGGAAACUACAGAUUGAUCUAUAAAGUUGUGGGUACUUCCGCCAUCAAUCAAUACCAUGAUAUCCUUGUUUUUUCAAUUUCCUUAAGACGUAGAUGGUUUGUGGAUGCUCAGUGCCUGCAAUUGCAUGGUACGAGAUCUCCAGUAUUGACUCAAUGAUGUCCAAUUUAACUUCAUCUUUUGUAGCUUCAAUAUAGUUGUGUUCUAGAGAAUUUCAAUCAUAAAUAAUUAGGGACUUUGGCUGCAGUGACAGGAAAAUUUUUUUCAUCGUAAUAAUAAUAAAGUCCUUUCUCACGUCAUUUAUGGGCCUCUUGGCUUGUGAUGCGCCGAAAGCGAAUCAGUGAGUUACUAGGGCCAUGGUUCAUUUUUUAAGUUGCUGAAGGGCCCAACAAACCAGUUAAAUUGUUUGGUAUGGCUGUUUGUACCCUUGUAAUUGUUGAAGGACAAAAAGAACCAUUUUUUUUUUUUUGCAGGUUUUUACAUUCCUCGAUGAACUGAGCAACACCAAUAGUAUCUGUUAAGGUUCACAGCUUGUUAAUCUUGACAUCUAAGUGAAUUUCGCCUUUGAGACUUGCAAUAAAACAACCCACUAAUAAUUGUCAGGUAACCUAUCAACACGGUGGGACAGUUUUUCGAAAGGUUUCUAAUAUGCCUCUACACUUAAGGUUUGUUUUAAAUGAGUUAGUGUAAUGCCAAAUGUUCAUGAUUUUAAAUUAUGAAAAUUUAGUUUUAUUAGAAAUCAUAAAUUACAUUAUUGCCCUUAUUAAACAAGGAUUAUCAAGUCCAUAAUUAGGAUUUAUGGGAUAAUUUUGGAAAAGACUUACUCUUUCCAAAGUUAAUAGGGUUUCUUAAAGUUCCCUAUAAAUUUAUACUUUUCCCUCUCCUAUAACCCUAAAUCCACAACGUUUUCUUUUAUUCUCUCUACUGCUCAAUACUCUUUUACUCACACCCUAUGAUUCAAACUUUUGCUUAGGAAAGAGAGUCUUCACAAUUGGUAAGUUUUACUCUCUCUAUCUUCACUUGAUUUCCCUAUCGUUAUGCUCUAUUUAGGGUUUUAUUGGCAUGAUUUUAGAUUGUUACAGACCAUUACACAUGAUUUAGGAUGUAUUUAAGUUGUGUUUAGUGCGCUAAUUUAUUGUUGAGUCAUGUUAGUUAAUCCCUGAUACAAUAGACACACUAAACAAUUCUGGAUAGCAUGAAUAUCCCAAAGUAAAACAUACAUUUUAUGAACGAUUUUUUACGAAGAACCUUGUCUUUCUGAAAACUAUACAUGUAGGACUUAUUGAAUAAAUUUUGUUUUAUAAGAUUUGAUUUUGUUUUCAAUUUUAUAUGGAUUUUCGAAACUGACACUAUUGCAUUGGAAAAAUGUGGUUCCAGCAGAAUGACCAAAUUCACAAAAUUAUUUGUAGUGUCAAAUGAACUCAAAAAAUUCUAAAUUUUAGAUAGAGGUUAAUAUAUGCGUAUAGUAUUUCCAGUUUUAAUUUCAUAAAUUUUUUAUUAAUGUAUAAUUUUACAAAAAUCUCGGAAUCCAUACUAUUUAAUUAAGGCACUGUGAGAUAGUUUUGAAUUUUUCAAGAGACAAAUAGUUUUGAAAAUGUUUUUGGUGUCGGAUCCUCUUGAAAAAUUUAUGAGAGAUACCAUCGAUGUCCAAAAUAGUUCUGUAAAAUAUUGUAUCAUUCUGUUUCUAGAUUAAGAGUUAAAAUUAUAAGAAUUAGACUUGUAUGGGUAUGAAUUAGAAAAUCAGGUUCUUAGAAUAAGUUGUUAAUAGUUAUAUCUUGUAUCGGUUUAAGAUGUUGGAGGUAUUUGAGGCUGUUAGAUGCUUAGAGGUGUGUUUAGAUCAUUACUUUUAUCGAGGUAAGUAACUUCAUUCAUAAUUUAUUGGAUAUGUAUGAUUAUUUUGAUACUACUAUAAGUACAUGUGCUUUUAUAGUUCUUUAAAAAAUAAUUGUUUUUCAUAAUGAAAUUAGUUUAUGUAAAUGUUUUCAAAUUUGAAAAUUGUGUUUUUUUUAAUGGUUUUAACAUAAUAUUAUAAAUACCUUUAAAUAUGUAAUUUAUUUUGCUAAAUGAUUAUCUUUAUGAAAUUGUCUCUAAAAUAUUGUAAUGGAAUUUUUUUGCAAGCCUAAUUCAUUAUUAUGAUUUUUUACAAGUCUGAUAAGAAUGUUUUGACCAGGUAUACGAUAAAGAUUAUUUAUCAUUGUUCACGGGCCACCUCUUGAGACUAUAUCGGGGCCACCUUUCGAGGGUCAGAGUGCUGCAAAGUGCCAUAUAUAGUACUAAGUGCCACAUACAAGUCAUUACGUAUGGAAAAUGAAUUUAAAUAUUUUGACUUAUUGUCUGUAGUUAUUUUGAUUUUGAUUCUGAUCGUAUUAUACGAUGUAUAUGUUCUGGACUAGUAUUGGGUUUUUGUUUUGAAUAUGUACAUGAUAUUUUGAUUUUAAUUCUGUUUCUGGCCGAGUCACAAGGAGUGUAGGUAACACUAUGUGACAUGAGCUAACCUUUUUGUUUUCUGAAUAUCUAGUAUACAAUUUGCUCCCAUGAUUAAUUAUGCUUUUGAUGUUAUGAAUUUCUAUGAAUUUAUGCCAUUUUGUUAUAAUAUGUUGUUUUAUGAAAUUUAUAAUUCAUAACAUAUGUUUUGAUAAAAAGAAGGCUUUCUAUAUUUUUGUUACCCGGUAAGCUUAGUGUGUUGGGAAUAGUUUUACUUAUUAAGUUGACAGCUCAUCCCUCGCCAUUACUUUUUGCAGACUAAGUACCUUGUUGAGAGGUAUGCUUACUGGUUAUCUUUGGAGCUAAAGAUUCAUUUACUUUUGCUAGUUGAAUAAGAUAAGGAUAAACUCAUCUUUCCUUUACGUUUGUUUAUUUUAUGAACUUGUAAUUAUGAAGUUUUGCGACUUCUGUCAUAUUUACAUUUUUGGAAGAAAAUAAUUAGUAUUAGACAUGUGGAUUCGUGGAUUUAUUUGAAUAAAAUUUGAGGUAUUUCAGUUUAAGAUUUUUGUUUAAGGAUUUUGAUUUAUGAGUGACCUCUUUUACCACGUGCUCUGCACGUGUUAGAUUUUGGGUGUUACAAUUAGAGUUUUAGAUGGAUCUUCGUAAUAUGUUGGUUCAAAUCGUUGGAGCAUGGUUUGUGUGAAUUCACUCCAAGUUAAUGGUCCCUUGAAUUUAGUUACCUUCAAAGCAGGGCCGGCUUUAGAGUGUUUGGGGCCUUAGGCGAAAUUUUUUUAUGAGGCCUCUGUUUGUUUUGCAAUUUCAAUACUAAAAGAAAUUUAAAAAAAAGUUUAAAAUUUAUUUCAUUUUUAAUUCUUGAAUUUUAAAAAUAAAACCUAAAAAAAAGUUAAGAAGAUAUCUUUUUUAUUCCAUUAAAACUAUUACAAAAUAAACAAACAAAUGAAUAAGAAUAAUAUUAUUUUCAAAUCGGAUAUUUAGAAUGAUAGAACAUAAAAAGUUGAGAUGAUGAAUUAAUGAUCAUAUAAUAGAAAUGGACUUGUAUUUCUAUAAACUGAUUAUUUUAAAAUGAACCAAUGAAUAUAAUAAUUUUCUUUGUAGAGAAGAGAGGAAGAAAUUUUUUCAUUUACUGAUUUUUGAGAUUACAAAGUUUUUAAUACAAAGUAAAAGAAAUACUAAAAGUCAAAGAUUCUAAUAUUAAAUAAUUAAUUUUUUAGAGGAAAUUGAAAAGAUAAAUAAUUUAAUUUUUUUUGGAAAGACUAAUAAUGAAUGAAUUAAUGGUUAAAUAAUAUUAUUAGUUAUAUCUCUUUAACAUUAAUGUUAUCAAUUAUAGAUUUUUCAUAAAAAAUAAUUCUUAACUGUAGGAUAAUUAAUAAAUUAGAGAGAUGUUAAUAAGCUUUUUGGUUUCCUGAAAUACGUAAUUAAAAAAAAAGAAUUAUUAGAAAAAAAAUAAAAAAAUGAGGCCUUCACAUAAUAUAAGGCCUUAGGCGACUGCCUUGUUCGCCUAUACCUAAAGCCACCCCUGCUUCAAAGAUGGAGAGAGGCAAGCUGGUCUGAAGCAAUAUCCUUAAAAUCAAAAUAUUAUUUCGCUUUGUAAAUCCAUCUUGUGGGAUCUUCUCCUCCAAAACUUGAGAAAGAAGAGCUUGAGGUGAUGGUGAUUUUGGUCCAGAAAAGAGCUAGAACAGAAGAUGUUUAGUUCAGCUGGUUGGUGUGAUGAUUCUCCAGGAGCAAAUGGAUUGAUUUUGGUGUUGGUGGUGUUUGAGCUGUGGGAAACCCGCAAGUAUUGAACCUCUGUGAAACCUGUUUGUAGAGUGGCAUUAACUUCAUGAAAGCUAGAAUCGAGUAGGGCUGGAAUCUCAUUAAUUUCAUUGCAAAAUUCAGCAUUGGUUUUGCCACGGGUGUCCAUUAUCAGAAUAGUCCUCUGAUACAAAUUAAUAAGAACCAGAAGCGGAUAAGGUGAAGGAAGAAAUUUAGAGAAGGGAGUAGUGUUUGUAUAAUUUGCUGCCUUUAUAAAGGAAAAUCUUGGUCAGUUAUAGACCCGACAGUACUACUAAGCAAUUUAGUUGCUUAGAAAUAGGAACUAACAAUCAAAAGAAACCAACGAGGCAUUGGAACAAUUGGCAACUGAUCCCCCUUAAGUGGCUCGACUGGGUGUGCUCCCCAGUUCGAGUCGCAGGGAAGUCGUCCUUGUUGGGAGGACCCGUAUCUUCCGAUCCGAAUCCAGAUUAGUCGGGACCCAAUGCAGUCUACGAAUACCGGGUGACUUCAAUAAAAAAAAAAAGAAAAAAAGAAAAAAAAAAAGGAGAAAAUAGCAACUGAAUAAUCACUAAAUAUCAGCCACCAACUUAUGCAGAGUUUAUCAACUAAUAGCUACUCCUGUCUUGGUCUUAUUUGAACAUUUCCUCAUAUUGCAUAUUGCAGAAUAUAUACUGCAGACUGUCAAAGGCUGCAGCAUAUAUCAUUUUCCUACUAGUUAUAAUUUACACAGACUAAACACAAUCCAAAUUCCAACAGAGUUCAUAAGUUCACAACUUAAUUUGAUUUAUUUUAUCAGAACUGACUCCAUAUAAUCUCCUCAUGUAACUGGAAGUGCAACUUUUAAUUACCGUGGUUUUGAAUUCUCAAGAAAUCAAUAUAUGAUUUUCCACGUAGAUCUUGAAAAAAAUCUUUUAAAGUGAUCUACCACACUUAUCCUCUUAAAUAAUGUUGGUGUCUCUCGAGUAAUAAGACUUGGUGCUGGACCCAAUUCUCCAUCUAAUUUUGCACCAUAAAAUGUAGCAAAAGAUAAUCUUUUCUUCAUUGAGUUCACAGUUGCACGAUGUUCGAUACUACGGUAAAUUCCAUUGGUAAAAACCUACAAGAUCAUGAAGUAAAUGAAAAAAAAAUGAGUUAGAAAGUGUAAAAAGAGGAGAAAAAUAGAUUGAUGAAACUAGAUAACUAUAUAUUCUAUGCUAACAACAUAGCUUGUAUUGCAAGCGACAUGUCACUAAUAAUUUCUUGUUAUGAAUUUGGUGUUAGUUAACUAUAUUUUUUUUAAUCAUUAAUACGAUAGUCCUACUCUACUUAUCAAUAAAUUACACGUCAUAUGGCACAUUACCAGACGUACAAACUCUGUAAAGAUGUACGUUACUUAUCAGUGGUUAUAGGCUAUAGAAAAUGAUAAGUGUUACCUCUAAAAUGUCUCCAAUGUUGACUAUAAAGGCAUCUGGAAGGGGUCUAACAGCAACCAAUUUUCCAUCUUUCUUUAUUUGGAGACCAUCCAUCUGAUUGAUUUGGAGGAGGAUGGUAAGUGCGGAGGCAUCACAAUGGGAAUUAAUGCCGAUAACUUGCUCUGGUUGCGGACAAGGAGGAUAAUAAUUCAUCCUUAAUGAUUGUACCCCGUUUCCAAACAACUCUUUCAUAUCAUUAGGAUCCAUUCUUAGAGCUUUAGCCAUUUGAUCAAGGAUUUUCAGGGCAAGAUUUUUCAGUUCUGAUAAGUAAACUUCCAAGUCAUCUCUGCAUGCAAAUAACAAUAUAUAGUCCAGUAAUUAUUAUUGGAUGGAAUAUACUAUAUGACAAAAAUCUUCGCUUUGAUUUGCCUUCGGAUCUUAAACGAACAAAAAAACAUAGAACCUGAAUGGAAGAGGCAACUUGGGCAACAAGUGGAGUUUCGUCAGAUAAGUUGGGAGAGUGAACAAAGUAAAGCCGUAUCCCCAAUCAAGCUUCUGCUCUUCAGACGCAAUAAAGAGCUGCCCAAAUCCCUCAAUAUCUCCUGGUUGUUGCCAAAACUUCCUUUUCUCAUCAAUUGGCAGAUCAAAGAAGUCUAGAGUCUCUGCUUUCACUUUCUCCACCAAUGAACUGCUCACUCCAUGAUUUAUCAACUGCAUAUAUGCAAAUAAAAUCAAGAUGUUCUUUCCGUACAUGGUUCAUGUAGGAAAUUUAAAGUUGAGGGAAAACUACUAAAGAAACUGAUAAUCAAAACGCUAACAAAAACAACAAUAUACUAGUGUCGGUUUACUGCGUUUCCCAUCAAGUGAGUAAAUCGACACCAACUUACCUUCUUUCAGUCAACAUUUUGACCAAUUCUAUUGUCUGAAUAUCGCUGCUCAAUUAUUAUGUACCUGAAAGAAACCCCAGUCUUUGCAUGCACGGUCAAGCUUCUCAAGCUCUGAGUCAUCCCCAGAGACCAGCUUGUGCAUGUCGAUGACUGGAAGUUGUUCUGCUGAAGAUUCGUCGUUGCGAAUCAAGGGAUGGUCUAUCUCAGGGCGGACAUAACGUGGAGGAACAGUGGUCAGUGGCUAAUUAUUUGCGAGCUCCAGAAUCGAAGGCUCCACGAGAGAACUCGCAAUAACUGUUGCUUUUGCCUCCAUAUUAUAUAGGUUUAGAUUAUCUGAUUUCUAGCUAUUACCUUUUUGUUUUUCCUCCUCUCGCCUGCAGACUUAUCUGGUUUGUGUUUUAACAAGAAACUCUUAAAUAAAUACUACUCAGGAUGAACUAUACUGUAGUUGGGUGUAAUAAAAUAUUAAUUUUAUUAUAAAAUUUGAGAGAAUCCUGACAACUGUCCAUACUUUGGGUAUUAGAAUUUUUAUAAUCUGUGCAAAUAAUUAAAGCGCUGAUUUAUUUAUUUUGCGCACUUAUUUAAUAAAUUUUAAAAAUUAAUUUUCACUCUUGUAUAUUCUUUUAAAUACUAAAAAACCUCUCUAUUUAUAUCUUACCAUCAUUUAUCCAAUUUUAUUUUUGUAUUAAGAAAAAAAAACUUCAUUCUAUAUAACUAUAUUGUAUAUAAUAUAAUAUAAUUGAUAACUGAUUUAAUUUUACUAGAGAGUUGCAGACUAGUUAGAGUCCAAUUUGUAUUUCUAAUUGGCAUUUUCAAGCACCAACAAUAUGCAGCUGGUUUUUUUCAUUUUUUUUUUGAAUUUACAUUUUUAUUUUUUAAAAAAUAAGUAACAUUAUUUUUUAAUGUUUCUUAUUUUUUCUGCAUAAACAAUUUUUUAUUUUCAAUUUUUGUAGCUGGUAACUUGUGGGUAUUUAUUAAACCUUUAAUAUUUUCUUUUACAAUUGAUGAUUUAGAUUUGUUAUUCAAGAAAGUUAUCGGGUUUAAAUAAGAUUAUUAUUUUGAAUUCCGGAGUUGGACCUUUUUCCAAAUAUUUGAAAUGUUUUGGGUCAUAUUAUAAUUUAUAAACGUUUGAGGAUCCGAAUGUAAUCCAAACAUUUGAAAUCCAAAAUUGGAUAGAGAGUGAGCGGCUAACCGCCUGAGGAGGCUAGUGGCUUGCCGCCCGAGGAAAAUCUCAUAUUUUCAAAUUUUAGACUAAAGUGAAAGGUUUUGAGAAUUUUAAAAUGGGUAAUAUACUAAAUUUUAAAAAGGACUUCUUUAAAAAAUACUAUUAUACUUGGGGCCGUAUCAUAAUUUCAAAAAGUAUUGGGAAUGAAAAUUAUUAUUUAGAAAUUCUGAAAUUGGACUUGUUUGUAAAGUUUAAUGACAUUGUGGGCCAUAGUAUAGUUACAAAAGUUUUGGGCAAAACUCUAAUUUUGUUAACAAUAGUACUGUAGCAAAAUUCAAAUUUAACGGUAACAUCAUUGUUCUGGGCGGCUAGCCGGAUAAAUCAAGCAGCUAACCGCUUGAUUGCGGAAAUUUACUUAUAACGGCUAGUUUUUGGACUUUACCUAUAAAAAUUCAACUCCAAAUUCAUUUUAGAGACUCUAGCAAGCACAAACAAGUUUAAACAGCAUACUUUGAGCUUUCAAUUCGCAAAUCAUCGUAGAUUAAAUCUUUAUUGUGCUAUUAUUUGCAUAUCCACUCUAAAAGAGAGUUAUUUGUUGUAAUAAUUAUUUUCUCAUCAAAUUUGUGAGAGUAUAAGUGUGAGAAACACUUGAGUGAAGAGAUUGUGAGAUAAUCUCUUAGUUGUAAAGGUUUAUUGACACCUUGGAAGUCAAUUGUAAAGAACUUGAAGCCUUAGGAGGCUUGGUUAGUGAAAUCCUCGAGUUUGGCUUGCAUGGAGGCGUGGACGUAGGCAGGGAUUGCCGAACCACGUAAAAAUUAUUGUGUUUGCUCUCUCUUCCCUUACUCUUUUAUUAUUGUGCAUUAUUCAACUUAUUGUUUUUUAUUUGAUUAAGACGAUAGAUUAAAUUAUUGUGCGAAUUGUUUAGCAUAAUUUUUAAAAUCCCAAUUCACCCCCCUCUUGGGUUGCAUAACUUGCAUUUCAAAAAUUUGAUUUUAAAAAUCAAUUUUAUACUUAAUACAAUUUUAUAUAUAUCUUUACAUAUUUUACAUAAAACCAAAAUUAUCUUUAAUUGCUUAACAAAUAAAAUCAGAAAAUUUAAGUUCAUUAUUAUUUUGAUUUAUUUUUUUCUUCACGUAUCUUCACUCCAAUUCUUUUCCUAUUUAUUUUCAAUUCCAUCAAUAAUUCUCAAUAAAUAAAUGUUCGUUCAGUCCUUAUAUUUUAAAUUAAGUGUCUAUUUAGUCUCUAUAUUUUUUAAAAACACCUCAAGAUAUUUUUACUAUUAAAUAUGUGACAUUUUGCCCAUAUUUUUCCUUGCCAUUAUAGUAAUAAUACCCAUGCUACAAUCUUGAGAGCAUUAAUUAAUUUAUCCAUAAAAAAAGUUAAUUAACAAAUUAACCAAUAAUUAUCAAGAAACCCCACUCUCUGCAUUCAAGAUCAAGCUUCUCAAGCUCUGAAUCAUAUCCAAAGAGCAAUUUCUGCUGGUCGAUGACCGGAAGUUGUUCUGUUGAAGAAUUGUCGUCGUUGCAAAUCAUUACACCUUUUACAUCACGGCGAACAUAUCGUGGUGGAACUUUAGUCAUCAUUGGCUUCACUGCCUGCUCCUUAAUCGAAGACUCCACGGGAGAACUUGCUAUCGUUGUUGCUUUUGCUGCCAUGGUUUUUGACUAAUUACCCUUCUUUCUUCUCCAAACUCUUGUGAUUAAACAAGACUACACAGAGUUCUCAAUUCAAGUAGAGUCAUUUGAAAAAUAUUGCUUUAAAUAGUAAAGAAGAUAUUUUAUACAUUAAUUGAUCAAAUAGAUAACUAAAUACCUACGACUUGGUAAAGGCACCAACUCCUUGACGGAAGUGAAGUAGUGGUAUUCGCGGAUUAAAUUUUAUGGAUUGGAUUAGAUUUAUAAUUUUAUGGAUUAUAAAUUGUUAAUCUAAUUUAAUCCACAGAUUGAUGAAAUUCAAAUAAAAUCCAAUCUAUAUGUCAGUAAAUCGGAUGCAAAUUUAACCUAAUUCAUAUCCAAUUCACCAUUUUUUGAGUUAGUUUGUAGGUUAAGAAUUUUUAAUUCUGUCAAAUUUAAAAUUGAAUAAGAUUUAAAUAAAUAAAUUAUUUAAAUAAAGCCAUAAUAAUACGUUCAAAGUUUUAAAUAUAUCUCAACAAAAAGAAAAAAAUCUCAUUUAUUUAGAUUAAUACAUAAAAAUUAACUAAAAUUAUGAAAACUAACUGUUUAGGAAGUUAUAUUUGCUUAUUUAAUUAUUUUUUAUUUUAUAUUAUCAUGGAUAAUAUAUAAUAUGCUAUUGAUGUAACUACAUUUUAAACUUAUUUUGUUAUUAGUAAGUAGUAAUGCCACAUUUACAAGUUUAAUUUUUUAAUUAAAUAAUUUUUAUUUUAUUUUUUUGUGAAUUCGUAGAUUUUUACGAAUUUAUAGAAGUAAACAUAUAUACAUCCAUUGACUGUGAAUUUUUGAGUUAUUAAUUCAAUCCAAUCCAUCAAUACAUAAAUCAGAUUGGAUUUUGAACACCCCUAGAGUGAAGAAGAGUUUAUUAAUUUAUUAUUUUUUUCGGAUGGAUUUUAAUUCUGAUUUGGGGUGGGUUCGAUUCGGUUUUCCAAACUGAGCCGAACCAAAAUUUAUGUUAAUUAGAUUUAAUUUCGGUUUUAUGAAUAAAUAAAAUAAUUCUAAACAUUAAAAUCAUGCACACAUGACACAUCCACCAUCUCUCUCUAUCAUACUAAUUACUAGCCAACACAGACACACACCCCCUCACCCAUGGGUGGCUUUAAGUAUAGGCGAACAAGGCGGUUGCCUAAAGCCCCAAAUUUUAAAAAGGCCUCGGUUUUUUAGUAUUAGUAAUAAUUUUCUAGUUAAUUAAAUCUUUUAAAAAAAUUAUAUGUGUGGUAGAAAAGCCUAUUAAACAUAUCUCUAAUUCAUAAUUAUCCUAUAAUUAAUAAUAAUUAUUAUUUAUAUAAAAACAUAUAAUUGGUUAUCUUAUUGUUAAAGAGAUAUAAUUAAUAAUAUUGUCUAACCAUUAAUUUAUUCAUUAUUAGUUUUUCUAAUAAAAAAAAGUAAAUUUUUUUAUCUUUUCAACUUCUUAAAAAAAAGCUCAAUUAUUCAACAUUAGAAUCUUUGACUUUGAGUAUUCCUUUUAAUUUCUACUAAAAAUCUUAUAAUCUAGAAAAUUAUAAAUGAAAAUUUUCUUCUCCUCUUCUCUACAAUGAAGAUUAUUACAUGCAUUAGUUCAUUCAAAAAAGAAAAAGAAAAAAUUAGUUACUUGAAAUACAAAGUCCAUAUCCAUUAUCUAACCAUCAAUUCAUGAUCUCAACUUUUUAUGUGCUACCAUUCUAAAUAUUCUAUUUGAAAAUAGUAUUGUUCUCAUUUAUUCGUUUGCUUCUUUUUGUAUAAUUUCUAAUGAUAAAUUUUAGAUUUUUUUUUUGAAAAUUUUUAGAAUCUUCUUUAUUAUUUGUUGAAAUUCAAGAAUUAAAACUGAAAUGGAUUUUCAGUUCUUUAUUGUUUUAUUGAGUAUAGAAAUUACUAAAUAAAAAGAGGUCUCAUAAAAAAAGCCUAAGGCCCCUAAUACUGUAAAGCCGGCCUUGCCCUCACCAUCUGUCUCACUCUCGCCGAUACACACAUUCCAUCCACCACUGUCCCUUAUCAGCCAGCCUGUCGCCGUCAUCGUCGCCAUCGCGCUUGUGUCAGCCUGUCGUCGUCGGCGCAGCCAGCCUGUCUUAGUCCAUCCGGUCUUGCUCGUGUCGUCGGUAGCCCGCUGUCGCGUCGCUGGAGUUGUGUAACUUGUGUUUAAUUUUUUAUUUAUUCGUUGAUUUUGUGUAACUUGCGUCGCUGGAGACUGGAGUUGUGUAACUUGUGUUUAAAACGCUUAAGCAUUUUUCAAAUUUGGACGUCUGACCGCACUGCGUGAGCAAAACUAUUCAGCAUAAAGGAUAUAUACAUUAGGUUUGCACGUGGCCUGACUUGUUUUUUGGAGAUUAGGUUUGCACGUGGUCUGACUUGUUUUUUGGAGAAUAGGUUUGCACGUGGCCUGACUUAUUUUUUGGAAUUUUGUUGGAUCUUGAUCCCGUACAUAAUGAUCUAAGUAAUAUUAACCUAAUAAAUAUUAUAAUAUUAACCUAAUAAAUAUUCUCAACUAAUGUGUAAUAAUAUCUUCAACAUUUAUCAAUAUUUAUAUUUUACUCUUUAAUAAUAAUAUUUAAAAAAAAUCACGUGUUGGAAAAGCCAAUUACAUGUAUUAUUUUUGUCAAUUUUUGUUGAUAUAAGAUGUAAAGUCAAUGCACGCUUAAGCAUUUUUCAAAUGUGGAUGUCUGACCACACUGCUUGAGCAAGAUUAUUCAGCAUAAAGGAUAUAUACAUUAGGUUUGCACGUGGCCUGACUUGUUUUUUGGAAUUUUGUUGGAUCUUGAUCCCUUACUUAAUGAUCUAAGUUAUAUUAAUUAUAGAAUUACACAAAGUUUGUGCUUAUCUAGUGCAACUCUAUGAUCGAUGUAACUUAUAUAAUUAUAUAAGAAAUCUCUUAUUUUUUAUUGACAUUUUAAAAUACUAAUGUCUCACAUUCAAGAAAAGUGGGAGCAAUUUUCUUUGCAUUUGAUUUGAAAUUAGUCAUACAUUAUAUUUAAUUACAAUUUAUAGUUGAAUAAACUAAAUCUUAAAUUAAAUUAUGCGAUACAUGAAUAGCUAAUUCAAAUUAAAAAAAAGUCCAUAAAGUGUUUCUCUAUAUAAAGGAGACAUACAAAGCUUUUGUAUGAAAAAGCACUAUGUUGUCUUAUUAAAAAAAAAUAACAGUCUUUUUAUAACUUUUUACUUUUGUCUAAUAUUUCUUCAUCAAUUUACUUUUACUAUUUUUUAAACAAUGUUGGAUGUUUGAUAUAAUUUUUUCAUAUAAAGUGAACGAAAAAAUAGACCACAGUGAGUGGAAGAAAAAUAUUAUAAACUUUUUCCAUGAAAUAGCACCAUGUGUUAUACAAUUAAUAUGAUUUUAAAGGGACCAUCAUAAACAUCAUCUUUCCAAAAGAAAUUGAAAACUGUCAUCUUUUAAACCUUCCAGGCAAACAAAUUAAUUUUCAUGCCCAAUAGAAGGAAGUCACAUUUGUUGAAAAUACGCCAAUCUCAAUUGUAGGUUCAAAUCAGGUCCUAGGACAACAAUUGAAACUGCAGAUAUAUAUAAAUCGACAAAGAAACAUAGAAUAUACACAUAAUUUAUUAUGUAAUUUUAUUUUAACUUUUCUACAAGUUAUAAUUCACACACAAAUAGAAGUUACACAACUCCGUAGACUUAUUUAAGUUUAUCCAUUGGAGUAUACACAGCCCAGCAAGUCUAAACACAAUCCAACAGAAUAAGUUCACAACUUAAUUGACUUAUUUUAUCAGAAUGGACUCCGUGUAAUCUCGUCAUGUAACUGGUAGCAAUCAACAACUUUUAAGUGCCCUGGUCUUGAAUCUUCAAGAAAUCAAUAAAAGACUUUCCACGCAGCUCAGUUGAAAAAAACCUUUUGAAGUAAUCUACCACAUUUAUUUUUUUAAACAAUGCUGGAGUCUUCGGGGUAAUAAGACUUGGUGCUGGACCCAAUUCUCCAUCUAAUUUCGGAUUGUAAAAUGUAGCAAAAGAUAACCUUUCCUUUACUGAGUUUACAGUCGCACGAUGUUCGAUACUACGAUAAGUUCCAUUGGUAAAAAUCUACAAGAUCAUAAAGUAAAAAAUAUAAAAAGAACAUAAAUAAAUAGAUGAAACCAAUUAUCAUCUACAUAUCCCAUGCUAACAACAUAAUUUUUAUCGCAAGCAAGGUGUCCCAACCCUUUUUUUUUUUAAUGAAUUCGGUGUUAGUUGACUUUAUUUUCCAUCAUUAACACAAAUUAUACAAUAAUUAUACUCCACUUACAAUGAAAGACACGUCACAUAUCACAUGACAUUACUAGAGAUACAAAAAAUAUAGCAUUAGUCAUCAUAGGCUAUAGAAAAUGACAAGUAUUACCUCUAAUGCGUCGCCGAUAUUGACUACAAAGGCAUCCGGGAGGGGUUUAACAGCAACCCAUUUUCCAUCUUUCUUAAUUUGGAGACCAUCCAUCUCAUUGACUUGGAGGAGGACGGUGAGUGCGGCGGCAUCACAAUGAGAAUUAUGGCCGACAACUUGUUCUGGUUGCGGACAAGGAGGAUAAUAAUUCAUCCUUAAUAAUUGCAUCCCGUUUUCAAACAACUCUUUCAUAUCAUUGGGAUCCAUUCUUAGAGCUUUAGCCAUUUGGUCAAGGAUUUUCAGGGCAAGAUUUUUAAGUUCUGUCAAGUAAACUUCCAAGUCAUCUCUGCAUGCAAAUUACGAUAUACAGUCCAGUAAUUAUCAUAAGAUAGAAUAUACUAUAUAGCAAAACUCUACGCUUCAAAUAUAGAACCUGAAUGGAAGAGGCAACUUGGGGAACAAGUGGGGUUUCCUCAGAUGAGUUGGGAAAGUGGUCAAAGUAAAGCCGUAUCCCCAAUCAAGUUUCUGCUCUUCAGACGUAAUAAAGAGCUGCCCAAAUCCCUCAAUAUCUCCUGGCUGUUGCCAAAACUUCUUUUUCUCAUCUAUUGGAAGAUUAAAGAAGUCUUGAAUCUCUGCUUUCACUUUCUCCACCAAUGAACUGCUCACUCCAUGAUUCAUCAACUGCAUGUAUGCAAAUUAAAGCAAGAUGUCCUUUCCAUAUAUACAUGGUUCAUAAAGGAAAUUCUGAAGUGCAGGAAACAAAAUGAUUUUUAUGGAAAAAGCCAAAGAAACGGAGAGCUGAUAAAAUGAAAAACAACGAUAAAUUAGUCUCUGUUUACUGUGUUUACAAUCAAGUGACUAAUCCGGUACCGAUUUACUUCCUUUUUGUCAACGUUUUGUCUAAUUUUUAUUAUCUGAAUAUCACUGCUAAAUUGUUAUGUACCUGACAGAAACCCCACUCUUUACAUGCACGGUCAAGCUUCUCAAGCUCUGAGUCAUCUCCAGAGAGCAACUUGUGCAUAUCAAUGACUGGAAGUUGUUGUGCUGAAGAAUCGUCGGUGCGAAUCAAGGGAUGGUCCAUCUCAGGGCGAACAUAACGUGGAGGAAUUGUGAUCAGUGGCUUAUUAUGUGCCAGCUCCAGAAUCGAAGGCUCCACGAGAGAACUCCUAAUAUCUGUCGCUUCUGCCUCCAUAUUAUAUAGAUUUCGAUUAUCUGAUUUCUAGCUAUUUCUUUCUUUUCUUCUUCCCUCUCCUGCAGACUCAGCUGGUUUGUGUUUAACAAGAAACUCAUAUAUAAAUAGUCCUUUGGAUGUACUGUAAUCCACUUAGGUGUAAUAAAAUAAUUAUUUUGUUAUAAAAAUUCAAGAGGAUCCUGACUUCUGACUUCUGUCUUGAUAUGAUCAUAUGUAGAGCAAAUAAUUUAGGUGUUGAUUAGUAGAUAAUGAAUUAAAAAAAUAAAGAAGUUAAAUUUUAUCUUUACACUAUCACUAAAUGAUAUAUGACUGGAGAUCUUAAAGCUUCAGUAAAGUUUAGAUUAGGGCUAGAUAAAUAAUCCGAUUCGACCCAACUAAUCCAAAAAAUAUCGGGUUCAGUUCGGAUCGAAUUAUUAACCUAAUUCAAUCGGUGGUAGAAACAAACCUGAUUAGAUCGUGAUCGGAUUGGAUUAAACCCAAUCCACUCUGAAAAUCCAAUAGGGUUGGUCCCUUACAAAAAAAAGAAAAAAAAAGGAAAAAAUGAGCUAACCUAAUUGAUCAUUUCAAUUUACAAGCACAAAGUACAAACAAGCGAACAUCGUGGUAUCCUUUUCACACACAGAGCACAAUGGCACUUCACACACACAACACAACAUAGGGGCAGCACACCACACAUAGUCACAUACGCAGUGGCAGCCGGCGGCACUCACCAAACAUAGCAUGGCAGACGGCAGUCAUGGCAGAGCAAAGCAGCCCUAAUGCGAUCCGUAACUUGCCUACGCAUGCUGCUGUCAUGUACCACGACUGCUGCUGCUGGUUGAUCCAUUCGCCACCACGAUUGCUGCUGCACUCCGAUCUGCUGCUCUCCACCGCUAAAUGGUUUGCCUUGUAAGAAACCUAAAAGAUUUAAUUUAUCCCUAAGAUAUUGUAUUAAUUUCUUCUUGUUGUACCAUAUAUAUUUGGACUGGGUUUGAGUUUAAUUUUUUUCCAACAAUUCUUUUCUUUGAUUGGCAAAAUUUGAUAUGAUAUAUUAGGUAAAAUUCGAUUAAUCAUCCAAUUAACCUAAACUUUUGACCCGAAUUUUUUAUUCGAUUCGAUUUGAAUAUAUUCAAAUUGGUUUAAUUCAAUUCAAUCCAAAAAUUAGAUCGGGUUGAUCAAAACUCGAUUUAUAUCCAGCCCUAGUUUAGAUCAAGAGAAGAUCCCAUUCCAUUUAUUAAAGGGUACACCAUUCAACAUUAAGACAAUUGAAAUAAUGUUAGGGUUUAUUUGUUUUUAUAUCUAAAGUCUUAAUUGGGCUUAAUUUAAGACGUUAUUAUUAGACAUUUUUAUCUGAAUAAAAUAAGUAAAAUUUCACUUUUAUCUGAAUUAAUAAAAUGUUUGAAUGGAAACUCAACUUUUUUUCUCCCAAAUACCCUCAUUAGAUGUAUUUAUUUUCUACUUACCUAUUAGAUGUCAUAUCACAAAUUUCCUUGAUAUCAAAUUUUACUUCGUAUUAAGUAUUUAACAUACAUUUAUUUUGAAUUUUCAAAAAAUUCUUUUAUAAUUAGAUAACAGCUUUUUUAUGUAUAAAUAUUAUGUUAAAUUGUAAAAAUUAAUGUUAUCAAAAUUAUUUUUCAUAAAUUAAAUAUGAGUUACUUCCCUUGUAAAUAUUUAUAACAUAUAAAAACUAUUGUACUAGAAAACAACGUAAAUAUAUAUCUCUUUAAGCUUCAAGUAUAUAUAACACUUUCAAGGUCAUCAGUGUAAAAAUAUUAGAUUUAAAAUGUUUUGAGUUUAAUAAGUACAAACAACUUACCACUUACACCUAGAUGUCAAAAAAUAAAAAACAAAUAUAUUAUUCUGACAUAGGCAUUCAGACCCUUUCAAACUUUAGCAACAUUCAUACCUAUUUCAGAUUUAAGAUAAAAGAAAAAAAAAAAAGAUCGCCAACUUAAUGUUGGGCUAUUUGCAAUCUAGAUUUUACUUUGAGUACCACUUUAUUCUGUACUCUCAUUCUCAUUUAAUAAAUUUUAAAAAAUAAUUUUACUGAGCACAUUCUUUUAAAUACCAAAAUAAUCCUCCAUUUAUAUCUUACAUCUCACCCAAUUUAAUUCUUUACUAAGAAAAUGAGUCUUACCCAAAAUAAUCCUACUAUCACUUGUAUCAAAUCCUAAUGCCAUUAUAGAUUUCACAGUGGAAUAGUAGUCUUAUCCAUGUAGUGUCACAUUGUGUGGUUUAUCUUUAGAUUGGUACUAAUCCCACUAGAUUGGCAUUUUGAAAUAUAAAACCAGGCUGACCACACAAACUUGUGUACUCGAUUUUGUUUGGGUUUUUUCCUCCACGAGUGUUACGUCGUAAAACAGCAAAUUAGAUAUAGACAAAUAUAAACAAUGAAAAAAAAUAGACAAUUGCGCCUAUCAAGUUCACGUGCCCAAUCAUAAAACUUACGAAACUAUUGGGAUAUUUUAUUGUUGAUCGGUCCGCAUCGUUGGUAGAAAUCACGAAAUUUAGAAGAGGACCAUGGCUUUUCAAAAUGCAUUAUUAAUUUAAGUCCUUUAAAUUUAAAUUCAUUUUUGUUUUAUCCAAGUAAUUGAAUAAGCACUCAUUUGGGAUUACUAUUUUGACUUAAAAAUAAUUUUAAAAUAUCAAAAUUUAAGUUUUGUUUGGUAAUUUUUUUAAAAGUAUUGGUAAAUCUAAUUUUGAGAACAAAUGUUAUACUUAAUACAAUUUUAAAUAUAUUCUUACAUAAAAUCAAAAUUAUUCUUAAUUAAUUAAAAAAUAAAAUAAAAAAUUCAAGAUCACUAUUAUUUUUAUUCAUUUUUUUCUUCAUGCACGCUUUCUACCCCAAUUCUUCUUCUUUUGUUUUUCUAUUCCAUCAAUAAUUCUCUAAUACUGCAAAUAUCAUUCCUGCAAGAUCAUCACUGAGUAUGUGUUUCACGACUUUAUUUUUUAAUUUAUCAAUAUUCAAUAAAAUUUAAGGUAAACAUAUAUGUGUGUGUGUAAUAAAAUUAAAAGUUCACAACUUAAUAAUUAAUUCACUCAUUUUAUUGGUAUGGACUCCAUAUAAUCUUAUCUUGUAAUUCAAAACAAUCAACAACUUUUAGCCGCCUAAUUUUGAAUCCUCAAGAAAUCAAUAAAUGACUUUCCACGCAGCUCGCUUGAAAAGAAUCUUUUCAAGUGAUCUACCACACUUAUCCUCUUAAAUAAUGCUGGAGUCUUUGGAGUAAUAAGACUCAGUGCUGGACCCAAAUCUCCAUCUAAUUUUGGACUGUAAAAUGUACCAAAAGAUAACCUUUCCUUCAUUGAGUUUACAGUCGCACGAUGUUCAAUACUACGAUAAGUUCCAUUGCUAAAAAUCUGCAGGAUCAUAAAUUGAACCCAAAAAAAAAAAAAAGUUAGCGAGUAUAAUCAAGAGGAGGAAGAAAUUAGAUGAAACUAGUCAUCAACUAUAUAUCCUAUGCUAACAAUUAACUUAGUUUUUAUUGCAAGCGACGCAUCACCAAUUAUUUCUAGAUUCGCAUUUAGUUGACUUUAUUUUCUAUUAUUAAUACAAAUUAUACAAUAAUUCUACUCUACUUACUAAUAAAAGACACGUCAGAUGUCACGUAACAUUAUUAGAGGGAAAAAUGCUUGGUGAAGAGAAACACGAGAGAAAAACGAGAGAAAUAAAGAAUAAAAUGGUAGAGAGAAAGUGAGUGGGUAGAGAGAGAGAGGACAAAAUUCUCUCUUCUUUCUCUCGUGCUUCUCUACACCUACCACUGCUCUUACUAGAGAUACAAACUACGGAGAGACAUAGCCUUACUUAUCAUAGGCCGUAGAGAAAGACAAGUGUUACCUUUAAAACGUCACCAACGUUGACUAUUAAGGCAUCAGGAAGGGGUUUAACAGCAAACCAUUUUCCAUCUUUCUUAAUUUGGAGACCAUCCAUCUCAUUGAUUUGGAGGAGGAUGGUGAGUAUGGAGCCAUCAGAAUGAGGCUUAAAGCCGAGAACUUACUCUGGUUGCGGACAAGGAGGAUAAUAAUUCAUCCUUAAUGAUUGCAUCCCGUUUUCAAACAGCUCUUUCAUGUCAUUGGGAUCCAUUCUUAGAGCUUUAGCCAUUAGGUCAAGGAUUUUCAAGGUAAGAUUUUUAAGUUCCGUUAAGUAAACUUCCAAGUCAUCUCCGCAUGCAAAUAAUAAUAUAUAGUCCAGUAAUUAUCAUAAGAUAGAAUAUACUAUAUAAGAAAAGUCUAAAAUUUAAGUAUAGAACCUGAAUGGAAGAGGCAACUUGGGGAACAAGUGGGGUUUCCUCAGAUGGGUUGGGAGAGUGAACAUAGUAAAGCCGUAUCCCCAAUCAAGCUUCUGCUCUUCAGACGUAAUAAAAAGCUGCCCAAAUCCCUCAACAUCUCCUGGCUGCUGCCAAAACUUCUUUUUCUCAUCAAUUGGAAGAUUAAAGAAUUCUUGAAUCUCUGCUUUCACUUUCUCCACCAAUGAACUGCUCACUCCAUGAUUCAUCAACCGCAUAUAUGCAAAUUAAAGCAAGAUGUUCUUUCCAUAUAUACAUGGUUCAUAAAGGAAAUUUUGAAGUUCUGGAAACAAAAUGAUUUUUAUGGAAAAUGCUAAAGAAACGGAGAGCUGAUAAAAUGCUGACAAAAACAACGAUAAAUUAGUCUGUUUAAUGGGUUUACAAUCAAGUGACUAAUCCGGUACUGAUUUACUUUGUUUUUUGUAAACGUUUUGUCUAAUUUUUAUUAUCUGAAUAUCACUGCUAAAUUGUUAUGUACCUGAAAGAAACCCCAGUCUUUACAUGCAUGGUUCAUAUAGGGAACUUAAAGCUCAGGAAGUAAAAUUAUUUUUAUGGAAAAUGUAAAAACACUGAGACCUGAAAAAACGCUAACAAAAGCAAUGAUUUGCAAUCAAUUAAGUAUUUUUAUUAUAUGAAUAUCACUGCUCAAUUAUUAUGUACCUGAAAGAAACCCCACUCUUUACAUGCAUGGUCAAGCUUCUCAAGCUCUGAGUCAUCCCCAGAGAGCAACGUGUGCAUGUCAAUGACUGGAAGUUGUUGUGCUGAAGAAUCGUCGUUGCGAAUCAAGGGAUGGUCUAUCUCAGGGAGAACAUAACGUGGCGGAACAGUUGUCAGUGGCAGAUUAUUUGCCAGCUCCAGAAUCGAAGGCUCCACGAGAGAAUUCCCAAUAACUGUUGCUUUUGCCUCCAUGUUAUAUAGAUUUAGAUUAACUGAUUUCUAGCUAUUACCUUUUUGUUUUCUUCUACUCUUCUGCAGACUUAGCUAGUAUGUGUUUUGACAAGAAACUCAUAUAUAAAUAG
rnacentral:lncRNA from 1 species